GACGAACGCUGGCGGCGUGCUUAACACAUGCAAGUCGAACGGUAAGGCCCUUCGGGUACACGAGUGGCGAACGGGUGAGUAACACGUGGUGAUCUGCCCUGCACUUCGGGAUAAGCCUGGGAAACUGGGUCUAAUACCGGAUAGGACCAUGGACUUCACGGUUUGUGGUGGAAAGCUUUUGCGGUGUGGGAUGGGCCCGCGGCCUAUCAGCUUGUUGGUGGGGUAAUGGCCUACCCAAGGCGACGACGGGUAGCCGGCCUGAGAGGGUGUCCGGCCACACUGGGACUGAGAUACGGCCCAGACUCCUACGGGAGGCAGCAGUGGGGAAUAUUGCACAAUGGGCGCAAGCCUGAUGCAGCGACGCCGCGUG
rnacentral:rRNA from 1 species